UCGAACGGUAACAGGAAGAAGCUUGCUUCUUUGCUGACGAGUGGCGGACGGGUGAGUAAUGUCUGGGAAACUGCCUGAUGGAGGGGGAUAACUACUGGAAACGGUAGCUAAUACCGCAUAACGUCGCAAGACCAAAGAGGGGGACCUUCGGGCCUCUUGCCAUCGGAUGUGCCCAGAUGGGAUUAGCUAGUAGGUGGGGUAACGGCUCACCUAGGCGACGAUCCCUAGCUGGUCUGAGAGGAUGACCAGCCACACUGGAACUGAGACACGGUCCAGACUCCUACGGGAGGCAGCAGUGGGGAAUAUUGCACAAUGGGCGCAAGCCUGAUGCAGCCAUGCCGCGUGUAUGAAGAAGGCCUUCGGGUUGUAAAGUACUUUCAGCGGGGAGGAAGGGAGUAAAGUUAAUACCUUUGCUCAUUGACGUUACCCGCAGAAGAAGCACCGGCUAACUCCGUGCCAGCAGCCGCGGUAAUACGGAGGGUGCAAGCGUUAAUCGGAAUUACUGGGCGUAAAGCGCACGCAGGCGGUUUGUUAAGUCAGAUGUGAAAUCCCCGGGCUCAACCUGGGAACUGCAUCUGAUACUGGCAAGCUUGAGUCUCGUAGAGGGGGGUAGAAUUCCAGGUGUAGCGGUGAAAUGCGUAGAGAUCUGGAGGAAUACCGGUGG
rnacentral:rRNA from 1 species